rnacentral:rRNA from 1 species
GCUCAAUGAUAUAUUAAAUAGCCGCAGUAAUUUGACUGUGCAAAGGUAGCAUAAUCAAUUGACUUAUAAUUGAAGUCUGGAAUGAAGGAAUAUAUUGGGGACUAACUGUAUCAAUUAUGUAAACUAAAAUUACUCAUAGGGUGAAAAUUCCCUUUUAUAAAUAAUAGACGAGAAGACCCUAGAAAUUUUUAUAAUUUGAGUUAUUUCAUUGAUUUUUGUUGGGGCGACAUAGUAGCAUUAAACCUACUCUAAUAUAAUUUGAUUAUAUUUAUACGUUAAAUUAAAUUACUCUAGGGAUAACAGCAUAAUAUUUAAAAGUUUGUGACCUCGAUGUUGGACUAGGAAAUAAUAAUCUAGAAGGUAAAUUAUUAUGCUCUGUUCGAGCAUUAUCUCCUACGUGAU